CUUGAGUCCCAACUGCAGAUGUGGCAGUAUGCGGCAGCCUGCAGCCCCGGGCGCCAGCAGUUCCACACAUGGCGCAGUUCUAUGGAUAGCUUUUUCUGGGUUUGCCCUGCAUGCUGGGCAUCUGCCAAGGUGGUCUUCUUGGUGGUGAUGGUCCCCCUGAAAAGUAUAGAAUCUGAUGGGUUAAUAUACGCUCAGGCCAGGUCUCUGUAGCACCUCGUAUGGUGAUGAGAUGUCACAGAGCAGAUUGACAAAUGCAGGCACCACAGACUUUUCUGUCAGCAAGGAUGAGUGAUCCCUGAGCUCCAAGUACUAUUAAAUAAAUGGAUUGUUUAAAGAGCUGAUACACC